CCUACGGGAGGCAGCAGUGAGGAAUAUUGGUCAAUGGACGAGAGUCUGAACCAGCCAAGUAGCGUGAAGGAUGACUGCCCUAUGGGUUGUAAACUUCUUUUAUAUGGGAAUAAAAUGUUCCACGUGUGGGAUUUUGUAUGUACCAUAUGAAUAAGGAUCGGCUAACUCCGUGCCAGCAGCCGCGGUAAUACGGAGGAUCCGAGCGUUAUCCGGAUUUAUUGGGUUUAAAGGGAGCGUAGGUGGAUUGUUAAGUCAGUUGUGAAAGUUUGCGGCUCAACCGUAAAAUUGCAGUUGAAACUGGCAGUCUUGAGUACAGUAGAGGUGGGCGGAAUUCGUGGUGUAGCGGUGAAAUGCUUAGAUAGCACGAAGAACUCCGAUUGCGAAGGCAGCUCACUGGACUGCAACUGACACUGAGGCUCGAAAGUGUGGGUAGCAAACAGGAGUAGAUACCCCAGUAGUC
rnacentral:rRNA from 1 species